GGGCGAUUAGCUCAGUGGGAGAUCGCUUCCUUCACAAGGUAGAAGUCACUGGUUCAAAUCCAGUAUCGCCCACCA
rnacentral:tRNA from 1 species